UUCCUCCAGCCCGCCGCCAUUUUCCGCCCCCGCCGGCUCGCCGCUGCGCCCCAGCGAUCGCUCGAUGGUUCCAGCCGCCAGCACCUGCAUGAGCCGGCGACGGAGACCGCGGGCGCAGCGUGCGGGGCCUGCCGCGGCGGCUAGACGAAGACCGGACUCCGACCCCGCCCGCAGCACCCGGCCGGCGGCAGCCAAGGCCUGCGAAGGGGCCGGCUCGGCCGCACUGGGCGGAGCGGCUGCGACAGAGGCCCGGACCUGAAGGUUCCAUCGCACUUACUUCCUGUUUUGGGUCCGGGCACUUUGGAAGAACCAGGAUGGAGGCUCCAAAAAAUACCAGGAUGGAGGAAGCAGCCACGGGAGAGAGUGGCUGCAGCUGGGGUGAGCGAGCGCAACCAGCCACCGGAAACGGAGCCACGGCCGCGCCCCGCCCCCGCCCUCUCAGUACCCCCCCUCUCCGGCCCGCCUCUCCCGUGGGGCGGACCUGCGCGCCACCUUGAACGUCACUUCCGUCUGCGUCGACAAGCUGAUGGGUUGCUGCGGAGUCGACCGCCAUUCUCAGCAAGCAAUACGGUCGUAUAGUCCCUGCCUAGCUGAUGCGGAUGAUAUAGAGGAGAGUCUUUUCCUUAGCAGGUGUCUGCACCGUUUAGUUUCCGGAGGAUCCGAAGGGAAGAAGAGGCCUUAAGAGUACAGAAGAAAGCAGGGUGUCUCUCUCUGCUCCUUGGUUUCUGGUCCUGUGGUAUAAUUAUUGUGAAAGGUGUCCUCCGUGAGUGUGACCUCGCUUUUAGGAGACUACAGUUCUUCAUGGAUUUAAAGUUCAAUGCUGGUGUCUACACCGAUUGCAUCUCUGUUUUCUGGACCCUGCCCCCAUGCCAAUCUUUUAAGAAUCAGAUUCCUUAAGAGUUUAUAUGAAUAAAUGCAUUUUGACUAUAUCCACUCCCAAUUCUUCCCGUGUUCUCCCUGACAUCCCCAAUCCCCACUCA
rnacentral:lncRNA from 1 species